ACUAUGCGAGAUGAUGACGUGAUCACAUAUCUCCUCACUGGUCUUGACCCUGACUAUGAUCACUUCGUCACCUCGAUGACUACCAAGAGUGAAGUUCUCAUGCUUGAUGAUGUGUUUGCACAUCUAAUGGCGUUUGAACC